UCCUCUUCUUUGGUUGCCACAGUUCAUCACAUUUCUACUGCCGUCAUGUUUCCAUGUUUAUGGACACAUAAAGAGAUUAAGACUGACGAAAUGUAGUUGUAAGGCACUGGCCUAACCAUCCGGAGCAGUGUGGAGUUCAGUGUUUUUCCCAAGGACACUUCGACAUGCGACCAGGAGGAGCCGGGGAUCGAACCACCCGCCCCGCAUAACUGGACGACCUGCUCUACAUCCCGAGCCACAAGUUAAAUUCCCAUCUUCCAUCUUUAAUCUCAUGCCUUUCCUGUGUCAGGAUGUUGGGUCAAGACAUUAUGCAAAGACCCAUGCUGAAAACAGUAAGAUGUGCUGACCUACAUCAAUGGUUCUCACCCUUUUCUGCUUGUGAGACUGCAGCUCAUGGAGGGAUUAUUGAACGGGCAUACCGGGCACAGACACAGGAGUCCAAGCGGUCGGGGACCCCCAAAGCAACAGACUGAAGUGACUGAAGUUAUUAACGUUAGAAAAAGAAAAAAGAAAAAGCCAAGGGCUCAGUCAAGA